rnacentral:rRNA from 1 species
UACGGAGGGAGCUAGCGUUGUUCGGAAUUACUGGGCGUAAAGCGCACGUAGGCGGCUACUCAAGUCAGAGGUGAAAGCCCAGGGCUCAACCUUGGAACUGCCUUUGAAACUAGGUAGCUAGAAUUCUGGAGAGGUCAGUGGAAUUCCGAGUGUAGAGGUGAAAUUCGUAGAUAUCUGGAGGAACACCGGUGGCGAAGGCGGCAUCCUGGACCGGUAUUGACGCUGAGGCGCGAAAGCCAGGGGAGCAAACGGG